ensembl:snRNA U6 U6 spliceosomal RNA
AUGCUUGCUUCAGCAGCACAUACACUAAAAUUGGAAUGCUGGAGAGAUCAGCAUGGCCUCUGUGCAAGGAGGACACGCAAAUUCAUGAAGAGCUCCAUAUUAAA